GGCGUAAGCGCGCGCAGGCGGUUUCUUAAGUCUGAUGUGAAAUCCCCCGGCUCAACCUGGGAAGUGCAUUCGAAACUGGGGAGACUUGAGUCCUGAAGAGAGGGGUAGAAUUCCACGUGUAGCGGUGAAAUGCGUAGAGAUGUGGAGGAACACCGGUGGCGAAGGCGGCUUUUUGGUACUGUAACUGACGCUCAGGUGCGAAAGCGUGGGGAGCAAACAGGAUUAGAUACCCUGGUAGUCCACGCCGUAAACGAUGACUACUUGGAGGUUGAGGGCU
rnacentral:rRNA from 1 species